rnacentral:lncRNA from 1 species
UAAAAUAUUAAUUUUUACUCAAAAUAAUGCGUUAUAAAAUUAUAAUGAGUAAAUUACUUACAGAUAAAUAGAUACAACACUAAAUUUUGAUCUUUACUGUAUAAAGGUGGAUAUACAUGUUAAACAACUCGAAAAUUUAUUUUCAAAAAUUUUUCAUUUAAAAAUUUAAUCAUAAAACCUAAUCAAUAAAAUUAACGGAAAAAUAUUUUAUUAUUAUUAAACCCGACGCAUAGAUCAGUUUUGAUUUUUGGAAAACAGAGUAAAAAUCCAGUAAACCAAGCAAAAUCAGGCCAAACUGUUGAUUUGAACCAAACCGGUUCAAAUCGAAUCGGAAUGGCCCAGAGUUCUCUAGAGUCAUCUUUUUCUUCCUUUCUCUUUUCUCUUAUCCUUCCUUCUUCCUCCUGCGCCUGACAGCCCUCUCCUCCUUUGUUCACUGCGUUUUCCUGCUACCGGCCAUGGAAUCCGGCAAACGAGCACUCCAUCUUGAUCCUCUCGUCGAAACGAACUUCUCUGUGGUCUUGGUUCUCGCGAUAAGAGCUGGAAUCGAGAGAGAUCGCGACUGGAAGGCCGCGCCACCGUGCGAUGGAGUCCUCCGGCGAAAUCUCGCCAUUUCCGUCGACUUCAAGCGCUAUGGAUGGUCUCAAUAGACACCUAGUCGCCUCCUGGACAAUUUCCCUCCAUUAAUUCUGGCGAUGGAGUAGUGAGGAUGAAAUCACCAUUAGAGGGGGAGCUACAACCACUGUCGAGCCAAAUCCGGUGGGUUGGAGAUCCGAUCUCGCUCAAUCGACGCAGGAAAUGGAAUCUUUAUCAAAAUUUGAGUUGGGUGGUGCUGUCUUUGCAAAAUUCUGGACUGUUUGACUUUUCCGGCCAUCGUGCACGGCGGCGGCGGCCCGACGACACUCCGGCGAGGCCGGUGUGAGAAGUCAUUAUGUGUCACUACGACAAUAAAAAAAUAAAAAGUUUGAUGGCAGUUGAGUGGGGCCACCGUGCAAUGACUACAGAUCUGUCAAAUGGAAAUAAGACACAAAAAAAUUAUCGUUUUCGUGGAAAGAAUCAAUGCUGCGAGAUUUGCGUGUGCUGCGAGAUUUGCGUGUUUCUUUCACGACUAAUAAUAAUAAUAUUCUAACAACUUUUCCGAAUUCAAUUUUCCUUUUUACUCACAAAUUAAAAUUGAUAUCAAGAAAUUUUUAUACUCUAAAAACUUUCAAACUUAAACUUCGCCGAUCUUUCGUAAAGUUAAAAUUUGUGAAGAAAAAGUAUCACAUGACAAACUCACAACAAA